ACACAUUAAGCAUUGAUCUUUAUGAUUUUCUUGCUCACUGAGUUCUUUGUGUAUAUUGAAAUUCACAACUCACAAGAGAAAGGAGAAUAGAAUAAAGUUAAUAUGCUUAAGGCUAUGGAAGACCUGAAACUGUUGUUUGAUUCUUGGGAUUGUUUUUUGUUCUAUUUACGUGUCCUUAGUUUUAGUCUUAUCAAUAACCUUAUUGGAACUGGAAUCUUUGUAUAGAUUAAUAAAAAUAACACUUUUCUUUUGUUUUGUUUUGUUUUUUCUGAAACAUUUACUAUUUGCUUUUAUAUAGGUUAAAGAAACGAAGAUGUGAAAGUGAUUGUAGCGGGUGAUGACGAUUGGUUGCCUCAGUCGCCAAAGGUUGUAUUCGAUAAAAGCAAAGAGUUAGGUGGAAAAAAGAUGGAGCUCAUGUCAUUCUCAAAAACUGUAGUAGAUGUGAUGCAGGAAGCCAAGGUUUCUGCUAGCAAAGAAGCUGAAGUAUCUCAAAACAUUCUUUGAGGAAGCUGCUUCUCAGGCACCACCAGGCCAAGAUUGUCAUAAUAUUUCCAGUAGAGUUUUGGAUCCCCUAUGCAUGGUUCAUACCAUUUAUAUUAUAUUCGUGUCAGAGUUGAACAACGAAUUAUAAACCACCUAACAUAGCAAAUAUUUAUUUUUUAUGCUC